GGUUCCGUAGCUCAGUUGGAUAGAGCAACAGCCUUCUAAGCUGUAGGUCUUGGGUUCGAGCCCCAACGGAAUCA
rnacentral:tRNA from 1 species